AACGAACGCUGGCGGCAGGCCUAACACAUGCAAGUCGAGCGCCCCGCAAGGGGAGCGGCGGACGGGUGAGUAACGCGUGGGAACGUACCCUUUGCUACGGAAUAGCCUCGGGAAACUGGGAGUAAUACCGUAUGUGCUCUUCGGAGGAAAGAUUUAUCGGCAAAGGAUCGGCCCGCGUUGGAUUAGGUAGUUGGUGGGGUAAUGGCCUACCAAGCCGACGAUCCAUAGCUGGUUUGAGAGGAUGAUCAGCCACACUGGGACUGAGACACGGCCCAGACUCCUACGGGAGGCAGCAGUGGGGAAUCUUAGACAAUGGGCGCAAGCUUGAUCUAGCCAUGCCGCGUGAGCGAUGAAGGCCUUAGGGUUGUAAAGCUCUUUCAGUGGGGGAGAUAAUGACUGUACCCACAGAAGAAGCCCCGGCUAACUCCGUGCCAGCCGCCGCAGUAA
rnacentral:rRNA from 1 species